rnacentral:snoRNA from 1 species
UUGCAGCCAAUUAAGCACACUGUGCUCUUCUCCCCACGGGGGCCCCGUGUACAAGGGCUGCACACAGCAGCCUCCAUAGGAGUUACCUGUACAGGUUGCCCUAAAGGAUCUUAGAGACAGCC